GAUGAACGCUGGCGGCGUGCCUAAUACAUGCAAGUCGAGCGAACAGAUGAGGAGCUUGCUCCUCUGACGUUAGCGGCGGACGGGUGAGUAACACGUGGAUAACCUACCCAUAAGACUGGGAUAACUUCGGGAAACCGGAGCUAAUACCGGAUAAUAUAUUGAACCGCAUGGUUCAAUAGUGAAAGACGGUUUUGCUGUCACUUAUAGAUGGAUCCGCGCCGCAUUAGCUAGUUGGUAAGGUAACGGCUUACCAAGGCAACGAUGCGUAGCCGACCUGAGAGGGUGAUCGGCCACACUGGAACUGAGACACGGUCCAGACUCCUACGGGAGGCAGCAAUAGGGAAUCUUCCGCAAUGGGCGAAAGCCUGACGGAGCAACGCCGCGUGAGUGAUGAAGGUCUUCGGAUCGUAAAACUCUGUUAUUAGGGAAGAACAAAUGUGUAAGUAACUAUGCACGUCUUGACGGUACCUAAUCAGAAAGCCACGGCUAACUACGUG
rnacentral:rRNA from 1 species